rnacentral:rRNA from 1 species
CCUACGGGUGGCUGCAGUGAGGAAUAUUGCGCAAUGGAGGCAACUCUGACGCAGCCAUGCCGCGUGCAGGAAGAAGGCGCUACGCGUUGUAAACUGCUUUUAACCGGGAAGAAACCCCAGGACGUGUCCUGGGUUGACGGUACCGGAGGAAUAAGCACCGGCUAACUUCGUGCCAGCAGCCGCGGUAAUACGAAGGGUGCAAGCGUUAUCCGGAUUCAUUGGGUUUAAAGGGUGCGUAGGCGGAGCGUUAAGUCAGUGGUGAAAUCCUGCAGCUUAACUGUAGACUUGCCAUUGAUACUGGCGCUCUUGAGUGCGCUUGAAGUAGGCGGAAUGUGCCGUGUAGCGGUGAAAUGCUUAGAUAUGGCACAGAACACCAAUUGCGAAGGCAGCUUACUAAGGCGAUACUGACGCUGAGGCACGAAAGCGUGGGGAGCGAACAGGAUUAGAUACCCCGGUAGUC